ensembl:lncRNA
GACUACCUCAAGCAGGUACUUAAAGGUUUGGAGCCAGUCUCUGAAAACUCACUCAUGGGCAACCACCAUUCUCCUCUUUAUGCUGGCUAAGAAUUCCAAGUGUUAUCCAGUCAUGGGAGCCUGGCCUGCCUGUACCCAUCCCGAGAGACUGAAUAUUAAUUACUCAAGAUAAUCAGGGAGAACUCCAAUUUGAGUGGGUGGAGAUGUGUCCAGAGCAACUAAAUCAUGACUAAGUCAGUCACAAAAGUUCCUUUUCUCUUUCAGGUAACUGGUAUACUUGUGGCCAUUUAUCUCAAUUAUUGGGGAUCUUCCCAACCCAGGGAUCGAACCCAGGUCUCCCACAUUGCGAGCAGAUGCUUUACCCUCUGAGUCACCAGGGAAUCCCUGCCUAGAAGAGAUUUGCAUUUAAAUCAGUGGACUGACUAAAGAAGACUGCAAUCAACAAAGUGGGUGGGCAUCACCCAAUCCAUUGAGGGCCUGAAUAGAACAAAAACAUUCAUUCUGCAUGAGCUGAAACAUUCAUGUUCUCUGUCUUUGGACACCAGCAGUACUCAGACAGGGAUUUAUACUAUUGGCCACCCCCGCUCUCCACCAAUUCUCUCUCAGGCCUCUGGACUCAGACUGAAUUACAUCACUGGCUUUCCUUAUUCAUUUGCUUGACCAUGGAACUUUUCGGCCUCUAAC